GCUGAAUUCAUUUUAUUUUGACGGGGGUAGUUGGGGGAGGAAUAUCAUUUCUGAAAUGCCCAAGGAAUGAAGGGAGAGGAUAUGGAUUUCUUAAACAGUUUUUGCAAGAGGAGCGGUGUCUUGCUCUGCAGACAGUUGGUGGGCAUUCGUGUUGUUUCUACUUUCUGAGGAUCAGAAGCAGCCAAAUCUUCCAAACAACUAGGUAAGAAAACAGGAGCAACUCAGGACAGUGAACGAUAA
rnacentral:lncRNA from 1 species